AUGGCUGCCACAGCCCCCAUUCCUCCACCUGGCGUUAGCCAUACUAAACAAAGUAUGGAUGGGAAGUUCUGUACCCGCUUUUGCUCCAAAGCUGGCGAAUCAGGAGAACCUAGAUAUACUGUGGGCCUGGGGCAGCCGGAAGUCAAGAGAAGGGCAGCAGUGAGUUUCUGUGUUUGGAGACCCCGGGGGAGGCAGCAGGCGAGGGCCCCCGCAGAUGACCAGAGUCGGUCAAGCAGCCUAUCACGAGGGAAUAAACAGCACAGCAGACAUCUGAGCAUUCAAGAGAAAAGGAAAAUCCCAGGUGCCAGAGACAAACACGAAGUGAAAACCAGAGACCAGCAAGCAGACAGACUGGUGCCGCGCAGCUUGGGAGUGUGGGGGACCAGGCCUUGCUUAGUCCCUUGCAUCAAGCGUCUUGAGCUGUGGCAGCAUUCAGGAACAGAAAAUGAGGCAUGGUCUCCCAGGUGCGGAGAGAGGACUGAGCUCCUGCCAAAGAGCCUGGGCCGGUGGAUGGACAGCCCAGCAGAAGGAAGCGGGAGCAGGCGGAAGAGCCAGGGAAAGAUGGCACAUGGCGCGCGGUGCCAGGUUAUUGUUGCGGUGAUUUCCCCAGCAGGGGAAUUGGAGAGUUUAGCAGCAAAGCUGAAGACAGAAUCCCAUUGUGACCCACAGCUGUUGGCUGUACAGCCCAGGACCAACUCGAGAGUGCCCCCCACCCCUGAGACGGAGCUGUGCUCCCCAAGGUUUCCCCUCAGAGCCCCUAAGGCUGAAGAGCAAGAGUAUCUAUUGCUAGGGGGGCUCAGUGGGGUGGUCCAAGCUGGUCACGGAGCCCCGAGCUUCUUAAAAGCCUCAGGUUUCCUUCCCACGUGCACAGGACCAUGUAGUGUAACCCAGAGCACACGACACAAGCUCAGGGCGUGCGGUGGUCCAGGACCACAGCUCCCUCUCCUGCCGCAAGGUCAGGGGCCGCGGCUGGAGAGGCACAGCACAGGGGGGCGCUGGCAGAGGCGGGACAGAGAGGCCGGACCAGGAGUCAUCCUGUGA
rnacentral:lncRNA from 1 species